rfam:Glycine soja cultivar W05 scaffold2064_32, whole genome shotgun sequence.
GGUGUGGGGAAUGUCGCCUUGGCUCGAGAGAUCUAUAUGAUAUGAUGUGUCCAUGCAUUCACUAAUCAUCAGUUUGUGAGUGUUUUCUCGGACCAGGCUUCAUUCCCCUCACU